rnacentral:rRNA from 1 species
AGCACAGGUUUACCUGUGUGACUGCGUACCUUUUGUAUAAUGGGUCAGCGACUUAUAUUCUGUAGCAAGGUUAACCGAAUAGGGGAGCCGGAGGGAAACCGAGUCUUAAUUGGGCGUUAAGUUGCAGGGUAUAGACCCGAAACCCGGUGAUCUAGCCAUGGGCAGGUUGAAGGUUGGGUAACACUAACUGGAGGACCGAACCGACUAAUGUUGAAAAAUUAGCGGAUGACCUGUGGCUGGGGGUGAAAGGCCAAUCAAACCGGGAGAUAGCUGGUUCUCCCCGAAAGCUAUUUAGGUAGCGCCUCGUGAAUUCAUCUCCGGGGGUAGAGCACUGUUUCGGCUAGGGGGCCAUCCCGGCUUACCAACCCGAUGCAAACUGCGAAUACCGGAGAAUGUUAUCACGGGAGACACACGGCGGGUGCUAACGUCCGUCGUGAAGAGGGAAACAACCCAGACCGCCAGCUAAGGUCCCAAAGUCAUGGUUAAGUGGGAAACGAUGUGGGAAGGCCCAGACAGCCAGGAUGUUGGCUUAGAAGCAGCCAUCAUUUAAAGAAAGCGUAAUAGCUCACUGGUCGAGUCGGCCUGCGCGGAAGAUGUAACGGGGCUAAACCAUGCACCGAAGCUGCGGCAGCGACGCUUAUGCGUUGUUGGGUAGGGGAGCGUUCUGUAAGCCUGUGAAGGUGGCCUGUGAGGGUUGCUGGAGGUAUCAGAAGUGCGAAUGCUGACAUAAGUAACGAUAAAGCGGGUGAAAAGCCCGCUCGCCGGAAGACCAAGGGUUCCUGUCCAACGUUAAUCGGGGCAGGGUGAGUCGACCCCUAAGGCGAGGCCGAAAGGCGUAGUCGAUGGGAAACGGGUUAAUAUUCCCGUACUUGGUGUUACUGCGAAGGGGGGACGGAGAAGGCU